CAUUAGGAUGCUAUGUAUCCAAUAGUUGUUAGUAAGGGUGAGAUGUCACUUAGCCACGCAAGUUUCCUAUGGUCCACUUGCUAUCUUUGAGGAACUUCUCGUGAAGCUGUUCUUGUCGGCGAUCUAAAUGGAGCGAAGGUUGUCUCCUUGUCUUGCUUCCUGUCAAGUUGUAGCGUCUUUGACAGAGGUAGUUAGGAAUGAUGAGUAGACGAAGAUACUGUUU
rnacentral:lncRNA from 1 species